rnacentral:tRNA from 1 species
CCGUCGAUAGCUCAGUUGGUAGAGCUGAUGAGUGUAGAGAUGCAGCAAUCCUCAGGUCACUGGUUCGAAUCCGGCUCGACGGA